UAGGGAAUCUUCCACAAUGGACGCAAGUCUGAUGGAGCAACGCCGCGUGAGUGAAGAAGGUUUUCGGAUCGUAAAGCUCUGUUGUUGGUGAAGAAGGAUAGAGGCAGUAACUGGUCUUUAUUUGACGGUAAUCAACCAGAAAGUCACGGCUAACUACGUGCCAGCAGCAGCGGUAAUACGUAGGUGGCAAGCGUUGUCCUGAUUUAUUGGGCGUAAAGCGAGCGCAGGCGGAAUGAUAAGUCUGAUCUGAAAGGCCACGGCUCAACCGUGGAACUGCAUCCGAAACUGUCAGUCUUGAGUGCAGAAGAGGAGAGUGGAAUUACAUGUGUAGCGGUGGAUUGCGUAGAUAUAUGGAAGAACACCAGUGGCGAAGGCGGCUCUCUGGUCUGCAACUGACGCUGAGGCUCGAAAGCAUGGGUAGCGAACAGG
rnacentral:rRNA from 1 species